rfam:Musa acuminata subsp. malaccensis Doubled-haploid Pahang (DH-Pahang) genomic chromosome, chr8
GGAGGGAGGCGGGCGCAAGACGGGGACGAGGUAGAGCAUGGGAUGGGGUCAGAAACAGAGUCGUCGUGUUUCUGCCCUUUCCAUGCACUGCCUCUUCCCUGGCUCUCUUCCCCUCCCUUGCU